rnacentral:rRNA from 1 species
AUUGAACGCUGGCGGCAUGCCUAACACAUGCAAGUCGAGCGGAACGGCGGCCGGGUGAGCAACGGCUAGGCCUCUGUCUGGUAGUGGGGGAUAACGUCCGCGAACGGGCGGUAAUAGCGUCUACUAUCACAUGAGCCGAGUUCGGAUUAGCUAGUUGGUGGGGUAAAGGCCUACCAAGGCGACGAUCCGUAACUGGUCUGAGAGGAUGAUCAGUCACACUGGAAGUGAGACACGGUCCAGACUCCUACGGGAGGCAGCAGUGGGGAAUAUUGGACUAUGGGCGAAAGCCUGAUCCAGCCAUGCCGCGUGUGUGAAGAAGGUCUUCGGAUUGUGAAGCACUUUAAGUUGGGAGGCGUUACCAACAGAAUAAGCACCGGCUAACUUCGUGCCAGCCGCCGCGGUAAUAC